rnacentral:rRNA from 1 species
GAUGAACGCUGGCGGCGUGCCUAAUACAUGCAAGUCGAGCGAACAGACGAGGAGCUUGCUCCUCUGACGUUAGCGGCGGACGGGUGAGUAACACGUGGAUAACCUACCUAUAAGACUGGGAUAACUUCGGGAAACCGGAGCUAAUACCGGAUAAUAUAUUGAACCGCAUGGUUCAAUAGUGAAAGACGGUUUUGCUUUCACUUAUAGAUGGAUCCGCGCCGCAUUAGCUAGUUGGUAAGGUAACGGCUUACCAAGGCAACGAUGCGUAGCCGACCUGAGAGGGUGAUCGGCCACACUGGAAGUGAGACACGGUCCAGACUCCUACGGGAGGCAGCAGUAGGGAAUCUUCCGCAAUGAGCGAAAGCCUGACGGAGCAACGCCGCGUGAGUGAUGAAGGUCUUCGGAUCGUAAAACUCUGUUAUUAGGGAAGAACAAAUGUGUAAGUAACUAUGCACGUCUUGACGGUACCUAAUCAGAAAGCCACGGCUAACUACGUG